AUUGAACGCUGGCGGCAGGCUUAACACAUGCAAGUCGAGCGAGCGGCGGACUGGUGAGUAAUGUCUGGGAAACUGCCUGAUGGCGGGGGAUAACUACUGGCAACGGUAGCUAAUACCGCAUACCAUCGGAUGUGCCCAGAUGGGAUUAGCUAGUAGGUGGGGUAAUGGCUCACCUAGGCGACGCUCCCUAGCUGGUCUGAGAGGAUGACCAGACAAACUGGAACGGAGAGACGGUACAGACGCCUACGGGAGGCAGCAGUGGGGAAUAUUGCACAAUGGGCGCAAGCCUGAUGCAGCCAUGACGCGUGUGUGAAGAAGGCCUUCGGGUUGUAAAGAAAUUUCAGCGAGGAGGCGUUACUCGCAGAAGAAGCACCGGCUAACUCCGUGCCAGCAGCCGCGGUAAUGC
rnacentral:rRNA from 1 species